rnacentral:lncRNA from 1 species
GGUAGCAAAUAAUUUAGAUUUUAAGUAAGAAAGUUUAGCUUUAAUAGUGCAGGUAUGUAGAAAGUUUCUAUGCAAAUAAAAAAGAGAUAUAUUUAUUUAAACUCUUUCUUCAUAUUCUAGUGUAUUGUCACGGACACAAAAUACAAACUUGAAAUCUAACAAGAAGUUCAAGAAGAAGUGACAGAAUUAGAUUAAACAGAUGAGUACAAGAACAACACCAGAAAGGUGAGCUAGAACUCCAAGAGAUGUG